GUUUGACUACGCAACCUUGAGACAUAGGUCUGAGGUUAGUGUUAUCAUUAUCAGUUCACAAUAACAAAAUACUGGCUAAUUCGCAAGAACUUUUCUCCAGUCAAUCUGUCACGGUUACUUUAACAUACCACACUUACCAACGGCCAACUGUCUUUCGCCCGGCUGUUUAUUUUCAAUAUUCAUCCAAAAUGGACGAAUCUGCUUACUUUCGACGCUUAGUAUUGAUUACUCUACUAUGUGUGCUCCCGUCAAUUUAUUGUAAGGAUGUGUGCGUAGAGAAAACUCCAUGCAGGUGUGAGUUUCCUAACGGCACGUAUAUUGACUUGACUCCAUCUGCUAAGAAUAUUGCCUUUAAAACUUUAACAUCUUAUGUGCCACGGUCACGAGGCGAAGUAGCGCUAACCACUUUUUACUAUCAUCCUUGUCAUGAUAUAAUGAUGGACACAAAGGAUUCACCUACUUGGAACAGUUGUGACAAACCUUCGGCGUUGUGUCGGUAUUCCAGCUCUUGGAACAAUACCCUUCCGGAUACUCUGACAAAACUUUAAGAACAUCACGAAUUUAUAGGUAGCUCAAGUUAUUCAGAGUUUGCUGAGGACGGAAGUUACAUUAAAUACUGGAAUCCACCAUCGCAAACAUUAGUGUUUUUAGUUUGCGCAGAAAGUGACGACCGAGUAGAAAUUAAGGAUUUAUCGAACCCGAAAACAAUUGAAUUAAUAUUCUACUCAAGGAAUGCAUGUUUAAAACCGGAUCAUAGUAAAUUAGAUAUGUCUGCCUGGAACUCUACUUUACUGCUGCAGGUCAGUA